rnacentral:lncRNA from 1 species
UUAUAAUCAAUAAAAUUAGACCUUGACAAGGACACUGCUUGGUCUCGCUUUUCUUUCCUGCCCAUUUAUUUUCAGGCUUAGUCCACCUUGGACCCACGAAUUACUGGAGCCCCGUGGGCCGGGGCAGGUGGCACCCAAAUGUGUGGCCCAAGGUAUGGACUCUUCGCCGAACAGAGACCCACCCCCCAAGGAAAACCUCGGAAGUGCACGCCGAGAAGCAAAGUCUCGCUCGCCGAAUUGCGACGGACGUUGGUCUGGGAAUGUCCUCACCGCUCAUGAGUGACUGAUUCCCUGAUAAAAGAUGCUGUCUUUUUGGCUACUUGUGUGUUCUCACCUUCAAUUGCUGUUGCCGCUGCAAGCCCCUAUCAGAUCUACAACUACACCUGGAUGAUCGUCAACCAAGCUGGUGAUAUUGCCAACUCCUCCACAACUAUUGCGACCACCCCCUCCUAUUCCCCCCAGGACCUCCCUCCUCCGCUGACCUUAUUCUCUCAUUAAUUAACCCUACUGUUCAGGCCCCUCAUCAAGCCAACCACUCCCUCAUAGAGGACUGUUGGGUCUGCUAUUCUUCCACCCCUCCCUUUCAUGAGGGAAUUGCAGGCACUUAACUCCUAACUUGCCUGUUCCUAAGUAGGGGGUUGACUACUUAUAUUGUCACCUCUACCUUCUUGUCUGAAAGAGACUAUUGUGUUUCAGUUCAGCUGCUACCCCGACAAUCCUCCUAAAGGACUAGAUUUUUUUGGGCCUGGAACAUCGAACCUCUUGAUUUCCUUGGCCUUGGAGAUGUCAAUGGCAGGAUUAUCGUGAUGCCGAAGGCCAGACGCCGACCCAUCUCACCAGCUGUAGCACCCUCCAUGACGGGAUUAGCGUGAGGCCGUGACCCAGAUGCCCACUCCAAGCGCUCUCGAGCUGCUCAACUUAUAAAAGGUCCCUGGAGUGCUAGGGGCGGAUGCACCUCACGUAGCCUAAGACAGAGGCUCUACCCCUCACUGUCAUAUAAAUGACAAUAUCAUAGACAUAGGGUCCCCUGGCUGUGCUCGGUGCCCAUCACGUAGCCUAAGACAGACGCUCCAUUCUAUUAUACAUAGAAGGAGGAGAUGUCAGGAGCCAGCCCUGGUUAGAUAUAAAAGUCCUCCUUACAAGAGGCCUGGCGACCUCCAUGCUAAACCGCCAAUUAGUCAAGCACCCCACCCCUUAGUUUCCAGACACCUGCCCUGGCCUGAGAGCAAUUAACACCCAUUCCUCCCCCACUUCCUCUUUCUUUACUU